rnacentral:rRNA from 1 species
ACUCCUACGGGAGGCAGCAGUGGGGAAUAUUGCACAAUGGGCAACGCAGCAUGCUGAGCCAUGCCGCGUGUAUGAAGAAGGCCUUCGGGUUGUAAAGUACUUUCAGCAGUGAGGAAGGUGGGUAUGUUAAUAGCAUACACAUUUGACGUUAGCUGCAGAAGAAGCACCGGCUAACUCCGUGCCAGCAGCCGCGGUAAUACGGAGGGUGCGAGCGUUAAUCGGAAUUACUGGGCGUAAAGCGCAUGCAGGUGGUUUGUUAAGUCAGAUGUGAAAGCCCGGGGCUCAACCUCGGAAUUGCAUUUGAAACUGGCAAACUAGAGUACUGUAGAGGGGGGUAGAAUUUCAGGUGUAGCGGUGAAAUGCGUAGAGAUCUGAAGGAAUACCGGUGGCGAAGGCGGCCCCUGGACAGAUACUGACACUCAGAUGCGAAAGCGUGGGAGCAAACAGGAUUAGAUACCCUGGUAGUGUACUGU